UGUUGGAUCAGAUGUAAAUUCCAGCGCAGCAAUGGCAGAGCUCCUCCGAAACAUCAUAUUCAGGCGAUUUUCCUUCAUCAAAGGACCACUGGAAAACCACACAGCUACAAUGAAGAUAGGAAUCCUUGAAACAGUGAGCAUUAGCAGCA